UAAGUCUUGCACUCAGGGAAGCUGGC
rnacentral:piRNA from 1 species